CAAUGUGCUAGGCGCGCCAGGUCUGCGAAGGAACUAGGAAUUUAACCAGUCAACAGGGCUAAUCUGUAACGAGGACCAGAAUAAGUGUCCAUGAGGAUGGGACUGAUGCUGCUGGAGGAUCCCAGAGAUGCUUUUACUCAUCGGAGAUAUUAACCUAGAUCGCAGAGGGAGUUCCUCUGAGCCCAUGAAUGUGACACUGAAAAAAAGACAGUGGAAGAAACAUUAGGAUGCUACUGAUUAAUAAUGUACAAGCACAAGCAAACCUGAGGUGGUGAAAUACUGAAUCUCAGCAAACCAUCUCUAAAGUGUCACUGCAGGCUCAAAAUGUACAUGCCCAACAUCGUUUUGUAAAUGGCUGAAACGCUAGGACGGAAUUAUCCUUCACUGGACAGGAAGGACAAAAUAUUGUUUGACCACUGAAUAGAACAGUUGAAAGUCCAGUUUGAUUACAAAAACACAGUUCAACGUUUAUAGAGACCAAAGUGGUGCAAUCU
rnacentral:lncRNA from 1 species